rnacentral:rRNA from 1 species
GUCUACUGCCACACCACCCUGAAAACACACUUGAUCCCCUCUGAUCUCUGAAGCUAAGCAGGGCCGGGCCUGGUUAGUUCUUGGAUGGGAGAACCCACAGUUUCUUAGGCU